rnacentral:rRNA from 1 species
CAGCCGCCGCGGUAAUACCGGCGGCCCGAGUGGCGGCCACUAUUAUUGGGCUUAAAGCGUCCGUAGCCGGGUUGGUUAGUCUCCCGGGAAAUCUGGCCGCUUAACGGUCAGAAUUCCGGGAGAUACUGCCAGCCUAGGGACCGGGAGAGGCCGAGGGUAUUCCCGGAGUAGGGGUGAAAUCCUAUAAUCCCGGGAGGACCACCUGUGGCGAAGGCGCUCGGCUGGAACGGGUUCGACGGUGAGGGACGAAGGCCAGGGGAGCAAACCGGAUUAGAUACCCGGGUAGUCCUGGCUGUAAACGAUGCGGACUUUGUGUCGGACAAGCUAUGAGCUUGUCCGGUGCCGGAGGGAAACCGUUAAGUCCGCCGCCUGGGGAGUACGGCCGCAAGGCUGAAACUUAAAGGAAUUGGCGGG